GAAAAGAAACCAACAGGGAUUGCCCCAGUAACGGCGAGUGAAGCGGCAACAGCUCAAAUUUGAAAUCUGGCUUCGGCCCGAGUUGUAAUUUGCAGAGGAUGUAUUUGGCGCGGUGCCUUCCGAGUUCCCUGGAACGGGACGCCAUAGAGGGUGAGAGCCCCGUCUGGUUGGACACCAAGCCUAUGUAAUACUCCUUCGACGAGUCGAGUAGUUUGGGAAUGCUGCUCUAAAUGGGAGGUAAAUCUCUUCUAAAGCUAAAUACCGGCCAGAGACCGAUAGCGCACAAGUAGAGUGAUCGAAAGAUGAAAAGCACCUUGAAAAGGGGGUUAAACAGUACGUGAAAUUGUUGAAAGGGAAGCGUUUAUGACCGGACUUGUGCCGUGUGGCUCAUCCGGGGUUCUCCCCGGUGCACUCCAUACGGUUCAGGCCAACAUCGGUUCUCGUUGGGGGAUAAGAACAGUAGGAACGUGGCCCUCCUCGGAGGGUGUUAUAGCCUAUUGUACGAUACCUUGAUGGGGACCGAGGACCGCGCUUCGGCUAGGAUGUUGGCGUAAUGGUCAUUAGCGACCCGUCUUGAAACACGGACCAAGGAGUCGUCCAUUAGAGCGAGCGUUUGGGUGUAAAACCCGCACGCGUAAUGAAAGUGAAAUUAGGUGAGAGCUUCGGCGCAUCAUCGACCGAUCCUGAAGUUUACGGAUGGAUUUGAGUAAGAGUUUUAACGGACGGACCCGAAAGACAGUGAACUAUGCUUGAAUAGGGUGAAGCCAGAGGAAACUCUGGUGGAGGCUCGCAGCGGUUCUGACGUGCAAAUCGAUCGUCAAAUUUGAGCAUGGGGGCGAAAGACUAAUCGAACUGUCUAGUAGCUGGUUACCGCCGAAGUUUCCCUCAGGAUAGCAGUGUUGACCUUCAGUUUUAUGAGGUAAAGCGAAUGAUUAGGGACUCGGGGGCGCUUAUUAGCCUUCAUCCAUUCUCAAACUUUAAAUAUGUAAGAAGCCCUUGUUACUUCAUUGAACGUGGGCAUUCGAAUGUACCAACACUAGUGGGCCAUUUUUGGUAAGCAGAACUGGCGAUGCGGGAUGAACCGAACGGGGGGUUAAGGCGCCAGAAUGUACGCUCAUCAGACACCACAAAAGGCGUUAAUACAUCUUGACAGCAGGACGGUGGCCAUGGAAGUCGGAAUCCGCUAAGGACUGUGUAACAACUCACCUGCCGAAUGUAUUAGCCCUGAAAAUGGAUGGCGCUCAAGCGUACUGCCCAUACCCCCCCUUCAGGGUAGAAACGAUGCCCUGAAGAGUAGGCGGCCGUGGAGGUUUGUGACGAAGCCUAGGGCGUGAGCCCGG
rnacentral:rRNA from 1 species